UCGUCAUUCGUUAGUUGCCUGUAGCUCUUA
rnacentral:piRNA from 1 species